rnacentral:rRNA from 1 species
AACGAACGCUGGCGGCAUGCCUAACACAUGCAAGUCGAACGGGACCUCCCGGUCUAUUUGCGCAGGUGUGGGUGACGCGUGGGAAGCUGCCCUUAAGUUCGGUAUACCUCCCCUUAAGGGGUGCUAAUACCGGAUAAUCUCUUCGGACAAAGGAUUUAUCGCUUUUGGAUGGGGCCGGGUUGGAUUAGGUAGUUGGUAGGGUAAAAGCCUACCAAGGGGACGAUCCAGGGGUGGUCGGAGAGGAGGAUCAGCCACACUGGGACUGAGACACGGCCCAGACUACUACGGGAGGCAGCAGUGGGGAAUAUUGGACAAUGGGCGAAAGCCUGAUCCAGCAAUGCCGCGUGAGAGAUGAAGGCCUUAGGGUUGUAAAGCUCCUUUGGCCGGGAUGAUAAUGACAGUACCGGGAGAAUAAGCUCCGGCUAACUACGUG